UCACGAUUGGCUGAAUCACAGAUAUCAGAAGAACGCCUAAACUUUGUUUUCAGACAAUUCUUCUGUUUCUUUUGUUGCUCAGUGUAGGAUGGACCUAGAGGAGUGGUCUUAUAAAAUCAGUGGUUGGACCAUUGUACCUCACGACCAUCAUCUUGCUGUAUUUGCUGUCUGGUGACCCAGUUUUGAGAGAAGAAUGGAAUCACUUUCAUCACUAUUUCUUGUACCUCCUGCACCCUCUGGAGAAGGAGAUAACCAUAUGAAUGAGUUUGGAAUGAGGAGUCACUCAGCCAUGCCCCCAUCUCCAGCAUUGCCCACAAUGAACCAUGUGCACCAACCCUUACUGUAGAAUAACUGAGAUCCAUAGAUACAGUGAGCAUUUUCUGAGUAUUUAGGACAUUUCCAUUCCCUGUGCUCUGUUACAGAAUCCUGAAGACAGUGAAAAGGUACCCACAGAUGAAUCAAGCCUGCUGUCUGUGCAAAGAAGGAUGAGUACAGUAGAACUGCUGAAGCCUGAGCAUUCAGCAGAGAAACUAUAGCAGACAUGAGUGAAAUGCUAGGUGAUAUCAGAGGUACACAUCCAUGCCUGUACGAAGAAUUAGAAGUGUGGCAGCUCCCAUCUUCAAAGUGGUCAUCCAAAGGCAUGGGCCACCACUCGUGUGAACAUAAGUAUAUCACUUCAUAGUUUAGUUUCCAUCUGACUUGCCGUGGGAUUUACUCUAGCUCUAGCUUUUAAAUGGAAAUGCAAUGCCUUUAUCCCAACUCAGUCUUGCAAUCUUUUCAACCUCAAUACUGAGUCUGAUCAGCACCAGUAUCUACAGGGAGAGACGUAGAAGACCCUGUGUUUAGCAGCAUUAGUUAGCAAAGCAAAGGUAUUUAUUACAAAGGACAGUUUCUUAUGUUUCAAAUAAGUAUAGUUUAAACCCAUACAGAUAAAGUUAUAUCACCUUAACAAUGCAUUGUUUAACUUUAGCCGGUACAAUUAUGUUAUUUUUGGUCAACCUACUGAGCAACCAAGCCAUCUUUCCUGUCCAAUCCAAGCGUGCUAUGUCUUUCUUCAUUGUGAUAUUAGAUGACACAAGAAAGAUGUAUCACAACAAAGCCAAUUGUCUUUUUUUCAGUGUUGAGAUGGUUAUUUUCCCUACUCUUCUUUUGCUGUGAGCACCAGGAAGAGAAAGUUUGUUCUUAUAGUCUGUCUACAUUGCAAUGGAAAAUCUGAACUCUUCUCCCAAUAUUACAAGUAGUAUAAAGUUUACUAUGUUGGGACUUCAUGGGUCCAGUACAUACUCUGUCACCACUACUAAGGUCAACAGAAAGUGCUAGCACAGAACUUUAUUCUGUGAAGAAGACAUUUCUUUCCUUUCCUUUCAUGAGGAACAAUUGUCUUCUCUACUGCUUAUUUUUCUUUACCACAGUUUUAGCUGUUAAAAAAUAAUAAUGUAUUCAUAGAAUCAUAGAAUCACUUGGGUUGGAAGGGACCUCAAGGAUCAUCAAGUUCCAACCUCCCUGCAGCAGGCAGGGUUGCCAACGGCUAGAUCAAAUACUAUAUCAUAUUGCCCA
ensembl:lncRNA